rnacentral:rRNA from 1 species
GGCGUCGAGCGGCGGACGGGUGAGUAAUGCCUGGGAAAUUGCCCUGAUGUGGGGGAUAACCAUUGGAAACGAUGGCUAAUACCGCAUAAUAGCUUCGGCUCAAAGAGGGGGACCUUCGGGCCUCUCGCGUCAGGAUAUGCCCAGGUGGGAUUAGCUAGUUGGUGAGGUAAGGGCUCACCAAGGCGACGAUCCCUAGCUGGUCUGAGAGGAUGAUCAGCCACACUGGAACUGAGACACGGUCCAGACUCCUACGGGAGGCAGCAGUGGGGAAUAUUGCACAAUGGGCGCAAGCCUGAUGCAGCCAUGCCGCGUGUUUGAAGAAGGCCUUCGGGUUGUAAAGUACUUUCAGCAGUGAGGAAGGUGGUAGNGUUAAUAGCACUAUCAUUUGACGUUAGCUGCAGAAGAAGCACCGGCUAACUCCGUGCCAGCAGCCGCGGUAAUACGGAGGGUGCGAGCGUUAAUCGGAAUUACUGGGCGUAAAGCGCAUGCAGGUGGUUUGUUAAGUCAGAUGUGAAAGCCCGGGGCUCAACCUCGGAAUUGCAUUUGAAACUGGCAGNCUAGAGUACUGUAGAGGGGGGUAGAAUUUCAGGUGUAGCGGUGAAAUGCGUAGAGAUCUGAAGGAAUACCGGUGGCGAAGGCGGCCCCCUGGACAGAUACUGACACUCAGAUGCGAAAGCGUGGGGAGCAAACAGGAUUAGAU